CUUUGACCUCGGAUCAGGUAGGAAUAC
rnacentral:rRNA from 1 species